rnacentral:rRNA from 1 species
UGGCGCCGGCGCACGGGUGAGUAACACGUAUCCAACCUGCCGAUGACUCGGGGAUAGCCUUUCGAAAGAAAGAUUAAUACCCGAUGGCAUAGUUCUUCCGCAUGGUAGAACUAUUAAAGAAUUUCGGUCAUCGAUGGGGAUGCGUUCCAUUAGGUUGUUGGCGGGGUAACGGCCCACCAAGCCUUCGAUGGAUAGGGGUUCUGAGAGGAAGGUCCCCCACAUUGGAACUGAGACACGGUCCAA